AAGAAGUUUAUGAAAUAGGGAUAGCUGCUAACUAAUUCCUAAAGCGGUUUAAUUCCGUUUACUUCUUA
rnacentral:tRNA from 2 species